rnacentral:lncRNA from 1 species
GAGGAUUCUAAAUUUUCUGAUUAAAAAUGGUGGAGUUAAAUGAGCACUUUUCAGAGUGCUGGAGGAAAGCGGAUGAAUGGUGUGUGGGGGCUCUGAAGGAGGAGGAAGUUAAGCCAAGAAGUGAUUCUCGGAGAAGAAUCACAGGAGGCUAAGGACGGGGCAGAGAAGGCAGCCUCCUGGACCCCACCCACAUGACUUCUCUGCCAUGGUGGUGCUGGCCCUGGCGGCAGAGCACAAGAGACUGCUCUGGCCUUCAGGUGGCACUGCCAUGCACUUGUGCCUCCUUAGUCAGUGUCCUGCAGUCUUGUGGAUCACGUGGCCAAGCCCACGAAAGCUGUGGCACUAUGCACACCCCUGUCCCUCCAAGCCAGGUGGGACUCACAGGCCUGCAGCUUCCUGCAGGGAGGGCAACAGAUGCAAACAUCUGUAUGCAGAGGACAUGGGGGUGUCGUCUCGGUACCAGCACCCCGAGACCAGGGUGUGUCCUGGUCCGUCUUUCCUUCUCCCAAAGGCAGCACUGCUCAGACCCGAGUCACGUAAUCGGGAAAACCAGACUGCCCUACGUUGUUAGCUGAGUAGGAAUUUGGUUGUCAACCUAGUUCACUGCCUGCUUCCAUUUGGGACAUGUUUCUCGAUUGCCCUUUUUUUUGUCAUUUUGUUUUUUUAAGAGUACAGAUCCAGAGCAGAACAACUCCCUCUGGUAAUACUUUUGGGUAUAAGUUGGGGGUACGCAUAAGUAAAUGCAGGCUUUAUUACUGGCAGGGUCAACCAGGACCUGGGAAACGUCAGUGGGUGGGCGCACACUGGGCUGGCGGUGUGAUAGGUGUGUCACAAGUCCACCACAGGCACCAGUGCUCACAAGCCCCAGAGAAACCACCACAUUAGUCUGGACUCCUUCCUCUGCAGGCACAGCCUGGAGGACACCAGGGCCACAGAGGACAGACAGCGGGCUGAAAAUACACAAGAGGCUGGCAUGGAGCUGAACGCGCCCUGGAAGCUUCUGCUGUUUUGAGUCGUGGGGAUAUGUAUAACUUACGGACUUCUCUCCCAAACUCAUCCCUCCAGAUUCUCCCAUGGACACGGCUGUCCUCCCACAACCCCCCACACUGACGGUCACACACAGAUUUCUGACCCUCAUCCCCUUUAACGGAGUACCGGACCCCGACACGAGUGUAUGCUUGGCACCUACAUUUCGGGUAAGGCCAGUUCUGUAACCACACACUACAUAUCACAUGUUAGGGUUGCCCAGUUAUUUCAUGGAUGCCCUCUUCCGCGGCUUGAUGGUUCUUCCUAAAGUAGGACAUGAUGCUGACUAUUCAUCUUUCCCUUCUCUGGAGAAUGGUCUGUCGCAGCUUCUACCGCUCGACUUUUGGUAGAUUUCCAAUUCUUUUUUUUAUUUUUUUAUUUUUUUUUUGAUACCAGGGAUUGAACUUGGGUCUUUGCGCUUGCAAGGCAGGCCACUGAACCGCUGAGCUAAAUCCCCGGCCCAGACUUCCAAUUCUUAAUGUUGUUUCUACUCUACUGAACUGGCCUCCCGACGUAUUUUUCACUUGGGGCCCCAACAAGAAUGAACUACAAUAAAAAUUUUUCCAAAAUUACCCAUGGCCCCCCCAACAUAAUCACGGACACCCCCCACUUAUUCAACAUCGGAUUUAGCAUCUGACUCAUUAAUAGUCAUUAAUGGCAUCAUCUACUGUGAAGUACGGUUUUCAAAGUUCUGCUUUUUCCAAACGGUAUCACAUGUUGUUUUCAAAACAAGCAGGUGGUGGGGGAAACUGAGGUUCACAGAGGUCCAACACCACAUCCUUGGGGGACCAUAACGCUUGGUUCCCAGCCUGGCAGCCUAUUGUCCAGCACCUCUGGCUGUGAGGCCAAGGAGAGGCCUACACGGUGCGUCCUGACAGUUUCAGUUGUGUUUCUUACUGAGGAAUCCAAUCCUUGUCAGGCAUUAGAAAUUUAAUCAGAGUUGAAGAGCAAAUCUCAGCACGUCUCUAA